GACGAACGCUGGCGGCGCGCUUAACACAUGCAAGUCGAGCGAAGCGACGGACGGGUGAGUAACACGUGAGUAACCUACCUUAGACAUUGGGAUAGCCUCGGGAAACCGGGAUUAAUACCAAAUGGUCUAAGAUGGACACGCGUCCCAUGAGCUAGUUGGUGGGGUAACGGCCCACCAAGGCGACGAUGGGUAGCCGGACUGAGAGGGUGAACGGCCACAUUGGAACUGAGAAACGGUCCAAACUCUACGGGAGGGAGCAGUGGGGAAUAUUGCACAAGGGAGGGAACUCUGAUGAAGCUAGGCCGCGGGAACGAAGAAGGCUUUCGAGUCGUAAAGUUCUUUUAUAUGAGAAGCGGUACCAUAGGAAAAAGCCCCGGCUAACUACGUGCCAGCAGCCGCGGUAAUAC
rnacentral:rRNA from 1 species